rnacentral:lncRNA from 1 species
GGUAGUAAUAAUAGGGAUUGUAUUUCAUGAUAGACGUAUAACGUUUUAGAAUCAAAAUCUUUAAUUCAUAUAUUAUACCUAUAAUUUUAAUUUCCCUAUAUCUUAAAUAUUCAGAAAUAAUGACUUCACAAACUAGAUGGAAUAAUUUCUAUACGUUCGUCUUAGUCGGGAAAUAUAAUGGUAUAAAGAAGUCCGUCCAUGCUUUUGUG